rnacentral:rRNA from 1 species
UACGAAGGGGGCUAGCGUUGCUCGGAAUUACUGGGCGUAAAGCGCACGUAGGCGGCUUGUUAAGUCAGGGGUGAAAUCCUGGAGCUCAACUCCAGAACUGCCUUUUGAUACUGGCGGGCUAGAGUGCGGUAGAGGAGAGUGGAAUUCCCGGUGUAGCAGUGAAAUGCGUAGAGAUCGGGAGGAACAUCAGUUGCGAAGGCGGCUCUCUGGACCAGCACUGACACUGAGGCACGAAAGCGUGGGGAGCAAACAGG